rnacentral:pre_miRNA from 1 species
AGGAGGAACAACCCCAGUGGCAGCGGCCAGCUCUGGAGCUCGUAUUCAGCUCCGGCAGUAACUGCAGAGCUCUCAGUCUGCAGGGUCUGGAGGUUCCUGGGCGGG